GGCGGGCUUAUCAGGGAUGCGGGGGCGGGCUUAUCAGGGAUGCGGGGGUGGGAGGUGCUUCCCUGAUAUGCCCUGCCCCCACAUAACCUCCCACACAUGGUGGUCUCAUUUGUUCUCUAUAUGAAAAUGAGAAAGGGUCUGAUUGUGAACUGGGAGAUUGUUGUCGUCCUCCAAACACUGUACUCUACUCGUGUGUGUGUGUAGGGGGUUCUGUGUUAAAAAAAAAAAAAAAAAAAAAAAAAAAAGUGUGUAUUCAUUUGAAGUAAUGUUUUUCUUGUACAGUAUCUCCCUUCCGCCCAGUCACGUGACUUAGUGCUUACGUCCCAAAUAACAACCUAUUCCCUAUAUAGUGCACUACCUUUGAGCAAAAGUAGAGUCGUAUGGGCCCUGAUGAAUGUAGUGCACUGUAUAGGAAAUAAGUAGCUUUUUUGGGGACCGUUCCAAGAUGUACAGAGUAAUUUAAAACACUAUACUGUAUUAGUAUGUAGUCAUUUGAAUGAUUUUUUGUUGUUCAGAUCUUUUGGUAGUUUCAUUUUGAAUAUACUGAAGUCUCAAGGACAAAGAGUUUGUUAGUUUAAAGAUAUUCCAUUUUUAUGGUGUUGGUUGGUGACAUUGUUACUGCUCCUGUGCACUAAGGUGAAACCUGUAUCUUUUCUCUCUCUCUCUCUCUCUCUCUCUCUGUCUCUCUCUCUCUCUCUGUCUCUCUCUCUCUCUGUCUCUCUCUCUCUCUCUGUAUCUCAAGUGUUUAUCUGUUUUCGUUCAGCUGUUCAUUUAACCAGCAGAAUGUCCGCUAUAGGUAGAAGACUGCUGGUAAGGCAGAGCGGUACAGUAAAACAGAAUCACACUAAUUCAAAUAAAAUAUCUAGAACAGACAUUUCAAGUCGACCGUGUUCUAUUUAUAUGAUCAGACCUGCUGCCCUGGUCUCUAAACUGAAAGGUGAUCAGACCUGCUGCCCUGGUCUCUAAACUGAAAGGUGAUCAGACCUGCUGCCCUUGUCUCUAAACUGAAAGGUGAUCUGACCUGCUGCCCUGGACUCUAAACUGAAAGGUGAUCAAGACCUGCUGCCCUGGUCUCUAAACUGAAAGGUGAUCAGACCUGCUGCCCUGGUCUCUAAACUGAAAGGUGAUCAGACCUGCUGCCCUGGUCUCUAAACUGAAAGGUGAUCUGACCUGCUGCCCUGGUCUCUAAACUGAAAGGUGAUCAGACCUGCUGCCCUUGUCUCUAAACUGAAAGGUGAUCAGACCUGCUGCCCUUGUCUCUAAACUGAAAGGUGAUCAGACCUGCUGCCCUUGUCUCUAAACUGAAAGGUGGUCUGACCUGCUGCCCUUGUCUCUAAACUGAAAGGUGAUCAGACCUGCUGCCCUUGUCUCUAAACUGAAAGGUGAUCAGACCUGCUGCCCUUGUCUCUAAACUGAAAGGUGAUCAGACCUGCUCAUGGUGAAGCCAUUGUCCAGCUGACAGACCGGUAUAAUGUGUGGAUCAGCAUCUAGAUGUAUAUUCUGUCUGUUCUUAAUGCUGCGUCGGAACACUGAGGGAGGUCUCAGGUCCGCUUUUCAGUCUGUCCAAUGGGCAUAGAGAACGCAUACUGUACAUGAUAGAGAUGCCUCAUCCUCUAACGUGAUAUUGAGAGUGAGCUGACGAUAUGAAGCGCGUCGGGAAUAGACAUUUUACAGGGAUGAUCACCUUUUUAAUUCAGCAACUUUGACUUGAAGGUCAAUUCCACUCCCAAAAUGAUAUUUUUGUGUAUAUUUGUUUCAUUCGUCCACUGUUGAUACAGCCCCCCAAAAAAUGUUUUGCAGUGCAGCAAUCCAGUUUUCAAGAUAUAGAACUUUGAAAACGCUAAUUGUCACUUGUCACCAUCAAUCAGCCUACUGUAUAAUUACACUGAAAUAUUUAGUAUUUAUACAAAAGUUUAACUUGAACAUAAUGUCACAUGCUUCAUAACUAACAGGGGUAGAUUUAAGUAAGCAUUUCACUGUCGGUCUACACGUAUUGUUUACAAAAGCAUGUGACAUGACAUUUGAUUUGAACCCUACAGCCAUCUGGUUACAGAUGGUCUCUUUUGUGUGUUCAUGGUUAAUGUCAAAUGUAGAGAGAGAAGGACAUUUGUUUAAUUUUUACGGUGUACUUUCGAUGUGACCAGCAGAGCGUGCCAGUGUUAGUCAGGGUCGUCUUUAUUGGUGACAACGGCACAACUUUUAUACACACCAUAUCUAUCUGUAGUCUUUGCCUUAAACUUUUCAAAGAACAGUCACCAACCAACAUACACUUGAUACAUGUAAAUAAAGGUAGCCAUAUACUGUAUUACUGCGGUGUGAUGUCGUUAUUUUGAACCUAACAGGAAACCUAUAGAUGUGUUUUGUUUUCUAAAGUCCCAUUCUGGGAUUUAAAGAUGUCAUUUUAAUGUCGUGUCUGGGGUCUAAGCCCUGCAUUUGGAAAGUAUUCAGACCCCUUGACUUUUU
ensembl:lncRNA